rnacentral:rRNA from 1 species
AUGACUUAUACACCCGGACGGAGGGAGUACGUUUCAUUAUUUUUUAAGACUGCAGCUUUUGAUGUUGUAGGCCCCAAGAACCGGUAUCUAGCAUUGCCCCUCCCACUGCUUGGGAGUUUUUUAGGAUCGCAAGAUCUGGAAUGGUGUCACGCCGACGGGGAUCAGAGUAGGCAAAUGGAUAGGACAAGGUCUUCUCGAUCUCGCGUGGCUGGCCCAAUAGGAAAACUCGACCUUAAUCUGCAGGUAUGUACUAUUCUUAAUAUAGUUUCAUCCAAAUUCGAUCAAUCGGCAAGCCGAUCUAUAUGCAUGUAUUCAUGUGUUGCAGCUAUAUGCAACGUCGACACGUGCGAAGGUGGCCGUGGCAGGUUUACUCGUGGCCUGAUAGCUGAUGGCCGGUAG